GCCCUAUUAGCUCAGUUGGUUAGAGCGUCGUGCUAAUAGGAUCUGAAUAUCAGAUUCAGUUACGCGAAGGUCAUAAGUUCGAGCCUGAGAAUUAGCCA
rnacentral:tRNA from 1 species